AAGCCAUGCAUGUCUUAGAAUAAGGCGGUUGAUUUCUGAAUCUGCGAACGGCUCCGUAUAUCUGUUGUAACCUACCUCCUCUAAGGGCCGAGGCGUCGGUAUAACCGCGGUAAUUCUGGGGCUAAUACAUGUAACAUCUUAGUAUGUCGUGGGUCAUUCCUGAGGGGUGCACUCGGGCCUUGCCGGCCGACCACUGGGGGGGGCAACCCCUCUUGCGUGAGGCGGGCAAGUACGUCUUACCGUGGCUGACCAUGGAGAGAGGGGUGGGCUUCAGACCUAUCAACUAGGUGGCCGGGGAUAGUCCGGUCACGGUUACAACGGGUACAGAGGAUCAGGGUUCGGUCCUGGAGAGGUAGCCUGAGAAAUCGCUACUACUUCUAAGGAAGGCAGCAGGCGCGCAACGUUCCCCAUGGGGAUACCCUGAGGACGUGACGGGACAUACCAAUGGCCAGCCC
rnacentral:rRNA from 1 species